rnacentral:rRNA from 1 species
GUGAGGAAUAUUGGUCAAUGGGCGCAAGCCUGAACCAGCCAUGCCGCGUGCAGGAAGACGGUCCUAUGGAUUGUAAACUGCUUUUAUUUGGGAAUAAACUCCGGUACGUGUACCGGCCUGAAGGUACCAAAUGAAUAAGCACCGGCUAACUCCGUGCCAGCAGCCGCGGUAAUACGGAUGGUGCAAGCGUUAUCCGGAAUCAUUGGGUUUAAAGGGUCCGCAGGCGGUCUUAUAAGUCAGUGGUGAAAGCCUACAGCUCAACUGUAGAACUGCCAUUGAUACUGUAGGACUUGAAUUCGAUCGAAGUGGGCGGAAUGUGACAUGUAGCGGUGAAAUGCUUAGAUAUGUCACAGAACACCGAUAGCGAAGGCAGCUCACUAGGUCUGGAUUGACGCUCAGGGACGAAAGCGUGGGGAGCAAACAGGAUUAGAUACCCGGGUAGUCC